AUUUUUUGAAAUACUGUGUGCGAUGCAUGUAAUUAUUGUUUCUUAAAAACCAAUUAACGUGAGACAUAAUCGUGCUUGCACUUCACAAAAGCCGGUGGAGGGGCUCUUCCCCCAAAAACUCUUCUUUAAAAUAACAUGCAAAAAUUAGGGAGCAAAAAUAAAGCUUUAUUCUUUUCCUUCUUUUAUUUUUCCGUUUUUAUGCCUUAAUUUCCAUGAAAGUGGAGGUUUUAAAAUCCCAGCUCCGAAAGCUUUCCGAACACAUAUCACCGAAAGAAAAUUUGCAAAUUUGCCUCUUCCCAUAAACUCUGAGGAAAAUUCCCAAUUGGGUUUCAGUUUUUGGGGCUUCUCUCUCUCUGUAUCUCAUGUGAGCAUGUCAGCUAAAGCAAAGUUAUAGAGAGAGAAAGCAUGAGUGAGGAGAGAGAGUAGAGAGAGAGAUGCUUUUUUUUUUUUUUCCCUUUCUGUUCUGUAAUCUUUUCAAAAACUGGCCUUUCCAGCAAAACCCAGUUGCUAUAUAUCCCUCUUUUUGCUUCACCUUCAUUAGACUACACAAGCAAGCAGCUGUCAACGUCUUUGAGUAAUGCAUCAGGAGCCAGCAACGCAGAUCAAAUCAAGGCUGGAUUAUCAGAUUUUGAAGCAUUUCUGAGUUGGGUUUUUGCCCCUGGUCAAUUUGAGGUCACCAAUCGUUUGUUAAAAUUCCCCAAAGAAAGUUUGGAAAAGUGAAUUGAGGUACUUGGUUUGAAAAAUGAGAGAUUUCCCAUCUUGUUUUGGUGAAAAUGGGGUUCAGGUUGCUGAUUCUUCAUCAUCAAAUAGUAGUAGGGGUGCCCAGAAUUUGGUUACUUGUAUGUAUCAAUGCCGGUUACGAGGCCGGUCUUGCUUGAUUACUGUGACUUGGAGUAGGAAUUUGAUGGGUCAAGGCCUUAGUGUUGGGAUAGAUGAUUCAUCAAACCAGUGUCUUUGCAAGGUUGAUAUUAAACCCUGGUUGUUCUCCAAGAGAAGAGGGUCCAAGAGUUUAGAAGCUUAUUCGAGUAAAAUAGAUAUAUAUUGGGACCUUUCAUUGGCAAAAUUCGGAUCCGGGCCUGAACCUUUGGAGGGAUAUUAUGUGGGGGUUGUGGUGGACAGGCAAAUGCUUCUCCUUCUUGGAGACAUGAGGAAAGAAGCUUUCAAAAAGACUAGUGCCAGCCCUGUGCCUUCGAGUGCUGUUUGCGUUGCUAAGAGAGAGCAUAUUUUUGGUAAGAGGGGAUUCACCACAAAGGCUCAGUUUUGCAAUAAUGGUCAAGUUCAUGACCUUGUAAUUGAAUGUGACACUGUCGGGGUCAAUGAUCCAUGCCUCCUGGUGCGCGUUGACAGCAAGCCUGUGAUGCAGGUGAAGAGACUUCGGUGGAAGUUCCGAGGGAACCAUACCAUCUUGGUUGAUGGGCUUGCAGUUGAAGUUUUCUGGGAUGUUCACAAUUGGCUGUUUGGUACAUCACCUGGAAAUGCUGUUUUUAUGUUCAAGACAUGCCUCUCAGCAGAAGUUGUGGGCUAGUCAACCAGCCUCUGAUCCGAGCGCGUUGCAGUGGUCAUUUUCGCAGAGAUUCUCGGAUAGUAAGUCACAAGGUCUAGGAUUCUCGCUGAUUCUGUAUGCUUGGAAGAAUGAAUAGAGGAAGUCAGAUGUUCUCCAUUGAUUGCUAACAGAAAAACCUCUAGAAUGCUUUUCUCUUGGGACGGUUCAAGGAGCCGAGAUCUCACAUUCACUAUACAAGUCAACAUAGAAGUAAUGGGAAUCUUUGGUCUGGAAAAUUUUACAGUUGCUAGCAAUCAAGUGGAAGAAAGGAUAUAGAAGGUUAAAUUGUACAUAACUGAAGGAAUGUGAAAGGGUAGGAUUAAGCACCCUGCACAACUUCCUGGCUUUGCCUGUUUCGGAUGAAGGGUCAAAUGAUAAAGUAUGUGCUAGGCAUGAAUUUGUGGAUAAAAAAGGGACAAUUCGCAACUGCUCUUUUUCUUGAAGCCUCGAAAAGCAUCUUCUAUAGCCCGAGGCCGGAUACAGCACAUUAUCUUGUAUCAAGGAGCAUUGUGAUGAAGAGAGUUCAACGAUUAUUUUGUGCUUGAUUUCUCUGUAGAUGCACCUGUUUACCCUAUGGAGUCUGAUCAUCUUGCAACACAUUGUGCUUCCUUUGCAUCAGGGCUCAAAAUUCAAGUGUAUAUGCUCUAGCUGAAACCCGGAAUAAUCACAUCUUCCGCCUUCUUUACCCUCUCCCCUCAGCCGAGCUACUUCGAUACCUUCCACUACGUGUUUCCACUGUGAGUAAUUCUUGCAGAAGUUCAAGCCUGUCUUAGUUGUAGUUUGCUGUUAACUGGAAAUUUAAAGAUGGUUGGUUGAGAUUUGCAUAGCAUUCAAAGAGUGAGUUAUUUUUGCUGAAGAAAGCUGCCAAACUUCAUGCUUAUUGAACCUUAGACUUCAUAUUUUCUCUGUUGAUUUAUGGAUGCAUGUCACUGGUUGAAUGUUGCAGCUACGAUUUUGUUGUAACAGGCACAAACCCGGCCACAAAUUUGGCGUAGGCUGAGCCUUCGCGGUGGUAGGGUUAGCGCCGGAAUUAGGCUAGGGUUAAGCUAUUUACGGGAGAAAUUUUCAAAUAUCCGGUGAGUUCUUUAGCGCAUCCGAGCCAGGCCAGGUUCAGUUCCUUCAGACAUUACCUUGUGACAACCCCUACUUGGUCAAAAUAUUCAAAACAUGUGUUGGUUACAGAUUUAAAUGGAUGCAAUAGCCCUAAUUGAUUGUU